AUGACAUCUACAAAAGUUGUGCACUUUUAACAAACAAACAGUGAUGCAGCAAAUCGGAUCUUGCCCAAGUUUCCAACUCUUACGGCCGUUCCAUUGCACUUUUCCUUGUUUUUGACCCGAGUUCCAGGUGCAAUGGAAUGCACCAUUAUUAUCGGUUAGCCUGACAUCAAAGCUAACGGUAAUUGGCUAACACUAGACAUUAUGGCGCCUACAUUCAUGGCUGGGUUCAGGGGGGGGUCUGGAGCUGACCCCACCUGAUACUGGGCAGGAUACACCCUGGAUAAGCCACCAGUUCAUCAGGGGGCUGACGUAUUGGGACGAGCAACCAUCCACGCUGAUAUUCAUAUCUACGGACAGUUUAGAGUAACAGAUUAACCUGCCUUUUCUCUGGGUCAGGGGAGAACAUUCAAACUCCGCACAGAAAGGCUGUGCCUCAGCCGGGGCUCGAAACCCAGGACCUUCUUGCUGUGAGGCAACACGAAACAACUUCCUUUUUGGACAAUUACCCAAACUAAGAAUUGGCUGUGUGUAUCACAGCAGCUUUAAGGCAUUUAAGGAAAAAUUGCAAGUCUUGGAUCUUGCCAAGUGUCUUGCUUUACAACUACAGACAUUUGUUUUGGAUAGGAGCACAACUUAAGCACAACUUAAAAGAUACUCAUGAUGAAAAGA